AUUGAACGCUGGCGGAAUGCUUUACACAUGCAAGUCGAACGGCAGCGCGGACUUCGGUCUGGUGGCGAGUGGCGAACGGGUGAGUAAUAUAUCGGAACGUAUCCAAUAAUGGGGGAUAACUAAUCGAAAGGUUGGCUAAUACCGCAUACGUCCUACGGGAGAAAGCUAGGGACCUUCGGGCCUGGCGUUAAUGGAGCGGCCGAUAUCGGAUUAGCUAGUUGGUGAGGUAAAGGCUCACCAAGGCGACGAUCCGUAGCUGGUCUGAGAGGAUGACCAGCCACACUGGAACUGAGACACGGUCCAGACUCCUACGGGAGGCAGCAGUGGGGAAUUUUGGACAAUGGGCGAAAGCCUGAUCCAGCCAUUCCGCGUGAGUGAAGAAGGCCUUCGGGUUGUAAAGGACUUUUGUCAGGGAGGAAAUCCCUAGUGCUAAUAACACUGGGGGAUGACAGUACCUGAAGAAUAAGCACCGGCUAACUACGUGCCAGCCGCCGCCGUAA
rnacentral:rRNA from 1 species